ACGCACGCUGGCGGCGUGCUUAGCCCAUGCAAGUCGAACGGAAAGGCCCUGCUUUUGUGGGGUGCUCGAGUGGCGAACGGGUGAGUAACACGUGAGUAACCUGCCCUUGACUUUGGGAUAACUUCAGGAAACUGGGGCUAAUACCGGAUAGGAGCUCCUGCUGCAUGGUGGGGGUUGGAAAGUUUCGGCGGUUGGGGAUGGACUCGCGGCUUAUCAGCUUGUUGGUGGGGUAGUGGCUUACCAAGGCUUUGACGGGUAGCCGGCCUGAGAGGGUGACCGGCCACAUUGGGACUGAGAUACGGCCCAGACUCCUACGGGAGGCAGCAGUGGGGAAUAUUGCACAAUGGGCGGAAGCCUGAUGCAGCAACGCCGCGUGCGGGAUGACGGCCUUCGGGUUGUAAACCGCUUUCGCCUGUGACGAAGCGUGAGUGACGGUAAUGGGUAAAGAAGCACCGGCUAACUACGUG
rnacentral:rRNA from 1 species